GAUAAAGUAUCAAGUAGAGAAGUUUUUUGUAGCUUCUUUUUCAGCAAGAAAACGUAUUGUUCCAUCGAUGCCUCCCGCUCAAUAGGAUGGAAUGAAGGCGCCAGCUGAUUCACAGAAGGCUCCCCGGAGGAAGAAUGAGCCACUACAAAUUCUCCUAUCAUAGCGACAAUUCGCUCCGUAUAGAACAAAGGCGGUGAUCCAUUCUAAAAAAGGGAGUAAGAGAGAGAUCUCUCGUUAGGUUUUGGUGAUGACCGCCGGAGGGGGAGUACCCCUGGGAGGAAACUUCGGAAAGAAAGCUUACUGGUUGGUCUGGUUGUCCCCCGGCGGUGCCCGGGCGGGCCUCGGUUCAAUCUUGCCGAUUCUACCUAGACAUGGCUCAAAACGAAUGGGUAAGGUCAAGUGUCCUUAAAACAAAACAUUCAGUGCACUUCGGAGCACGGUCUUCGUCAUAUAUGAUUUGAGCUUUUUGAUGUACUCCUCAGGAACAUCAAAAAUACUUGACUAUUCUGUUCAGAAUUUAAGCAAUUGCAUAACUAUAAAUAACUCGAAAAGUUCCCACGAUGCCAUUGCCGGCGAUUCUGGCAAUGGUUUGCAAUGGGAUUUGUUCCUAGAGCAUCUACACAGGGAUGAAUAGGGGUGGAUCUAAAGGGGCCUAGGGGGAUCGAGCCCCCCUAUCUCCCAAAAUCAAUGGGUACCUUCUGAGCCCCCUCUAUUUUCAGGAAUAAAGAAUGAAGAAGGAGGGAGGAAGAAGAAGAGAAGGGGAAGAAGAAGAGAAGGAAGAUAAGCCACUCUUCACUUGCCUACUGGAUUCGCCAUUGCAUCUACGAGUGAUGGGGUUCCGUUUUACCACGAAACUCCAACAUGCACUGGGAUUUGGGUGACAUGCAACAUCAAAGCAUGUUGGUGCCAUAGCAGUCAUUAGACCAUGCCAAAAGGCAGUGGAGACGAAAGGAAACUGCAAGAAGGACUCACCAAAUGCGGGGGAAGUCAAAACGGGGAGCCGCAGGUUGGGGCAGAGCGGCGGCGGUGGAGGAGAUUGGCGACGAGGUUGUUGACCGGAGUUGAGGAAGAAGGGGAACUGGGUGCUGAGCUUGUGGCCUGGUUUAUCGUGGAGAGGUACCGUGGUGGCCGUGAUGGAACUCGCCGGCGGCGGCAGCUCCGGCGACGCGCUGCUUGGGUGAGGCAGGCGGAGCGGCAUAGGUGAAGGUGAGUAGGGAAAGGAGGGAAAGAGGGAGAGAAGGAACGGGAGGGGAGGGAGCGCUGGUUUGUUUGGCGUCUCUCUUGAGG
rnacentral:lncRNA from 1 species